GAUGAACGCUGGCGGCGUGCCUAAUACAUGCAAGUCGAGCGAACGGACGAGAAGCUUGCUUUUCUGAUGUUAGCGGCGGACGGGUGAGUAACACGUGGCUAACCUACCUAUAAGACUGGGAUAACUUAGGGAAACCGGAGCUAAUACCGGAUAAUAUUUUGAACCGCAUGGUUCAAAAGUGAAAGCCGGUCUUGCUGUCACUUAUAGAUGGAUCCGCGUUGCAUUAGCUAGUUGGUAAGGUAACGGCUUACCAAGGCAACGAUGCAUAGCCGACCUGAGAGGGUGAUCGGCCACACUGGAACUGAGACACGGUCCAGACUCCUACGGGAGGCAGCAGUAGGGAAUCUUCCACAAUGGGCGAAAGCCUGACGGAGCAACGCCGCGUGAGUGAUGAAGGUCUUCGGAUCGUAAAACUCUGUUAUUAGGGAAGAACAUAUGUGUAAGUAUCUGUGCACAUCUUGACGGUACCUAAUCAGAAAGCCACGGCUAACUACGUG
rnacentral:rRNA from 1 species